rnacentral:rRNA from 1 species
UACGUAGGGUGCGAGCGUUAGUCGGAAUUACUGGGCGUAAAGCGUGCGCAGGCGGUUUGCUAAGACCGAUGUGAAAUCCCCGGGCUUAACCUGGGAACUGCAUUGGUGACUGGCAGGCUAGAGUAUGGCAGAGGGGGGUAGAAUUCCACGUGUAGCAGUGAAAUGCGUAGAGAUGUGGAGGAAUACCGAUGGCGAAGGCAGCCCCCUGGGCCAAUACUGACGCUCAUGCACGAAAGCGUGGGGAGCAAACAGG